UGGACCCCGAACAGUAUUCCUCAUAAAAGUUUGUAGAAAAUCAUCUUCCACAAGGAGGAGGCACAGGGCUCUCCCCUGGGUGGGAAGCUGGUUCCUGGUGUUGCUUCUUGGCAACCGCCAUAUGCCAUUGAUGACUUCUCUUUUCUUCCUUUGUGAGGGAGACGACAUCAUGUUUUAAAAAAGAAAAAAAAAAGCAGGGCAGGGAGUGGG